rnacentral:rRNA from 1 species
CCUACGGGAGGCAGCAGUGAGGAAUAUUGGUCAAUGGACGAGAGUCUGAACCAGCCAAGUAGCGUGAAGGAUGACUGCCCUAUGGGUUGUAAACUUCUUUUAUAUGGGAAUAAAAUGUUCCACGUGUGGGAUUUUGUAUGUACCAUAUGAAUAAGGAUCGGCUAAUUCCGUGCCAGCAGCCGCGGUAAUACGGAGGAUCCGAGCGUUAUCCGGAUUUAUUGGGUUUAAAGGGAGCGUAGGUGGAUUGUUAAGUCAGUUGUGAAAGGUUGCGGCUCAACCGUAAAAUUGCAGUUGAAACUGGCAGUCUUGAGUACAGUAGAGGUGGGCGGAAUUCGUGGUGUAGCGGUGAAAUGCUUAGAUAUCACGAAGAACUCCGAUUGCGAAGGCAGCUCACUGGACUGCAACUGACACUGAGGCUCGAAAGUGUGGGUAUCAAACAGGAUUAGAUACCCCAGUAGUC